GGAGCGCGGGGCCAGGACGCGGGGCUUGGCCGGGGCGGGGCGCUUCUGGGAGACGCGGCUCCUCCCGCGGGAGGUGAGACAGGAAAGGCGGAGCUUGGCCGGCGGGCGGGACGAAGGAGGGAAGCGAGGCGGGGUGGGGGGCGGUAUUCCCGGAGGGAAACUUAGUUGUGAUUGGUUGGAAUAGUCCGGGAGCUAGAGACAGACAACUGAGGCGGGGUUACAUGGAAACAGGACCAGGAAACAGUCAUCUAAAGACGUCCCCCGAGGAGUGCCGCUGCCUGUCCCUGCCCACGGGGUUGAGGAGGGAAGGAAAGAGCAUCAGAGCAUCACCUACCAACCCCUCAGCAUCCACAGAUUUGCAGGAUUUCCUCUGCAGCGGGAGGGAUGAGGGCUGGACAAGAGGAAGGACUGUCCCUCUCCCUCCAGAGCGAGUCGGCGUAGGAGGAGAAGUCAGAGUUGGCGUCCUUCUCGGCCAGAUAGACCAGGAAGGAGGCAAAGAUGAGCACCAGGAAUCCGAUGUACCAGGCGGUGAUCAGCUCCUGCGGGGACAGCAAAGAUGAAAACGUCAGGAGGGCCGAGCCAGAGGGGUAUAAGGAAGCGCCUAAUACUGUGCGUACCUGGCAGAGGGGGGCAGGUGGGAGGUUCCCAGAAUGACCCCGAGAGGUGUUCUGGAGGGGGGAUAAAGGCGCCCCACCUCUCCGAGUUGCCUGGCGGCCACUGCCCAUCUUUCUUUCCCAGCUCCUCCUUCCGGGGAGACCCUGCCCCGCCUUCCCGGCCUCAGGGUACGCCCCCGGCCCCGCCCUUGACCCCCCCCCCCAGGUUCCAGGUUCCGACUUCAGUCCCCAGGCCCACCGCCCCUCAACACCCCACACACCCCAACAUCCAGUCCCCCCCACCCGCCCCAGCUCCCCACUUUGCUGUGCACACAGACUCACCUAACCCAGAAGCUUCCGACUGAGCCCCUCAACCCCUUACCCCUCAAGCCCCUCUUCCUGGCCUGCACCUGCCCUCCCCCUGCAGACUGGCCCUCGCCGGGCCUCAGAGAUCGGCCCCUGUGGCCUGGCCCCCGCCGGGCCCACAGUCUCCCCAACCCUGGGGCUGGACUCGGGCCCUGCCCCACCCCCCACCUCCGGCCCCGGGAGACGUCC